GGCUGGGUAGCUCAGUUGGUACGAGCGUCCGCCUGAAAAGCGGAAGGUCGCCGGU
rnacentral:tRNA from 1 species